AGAGUUUGAUCCUGGCUCAGGAUGAACGCUAGCGGCAGGCCUAACACAUGCAAGUCGAGGGGUAACAUUGGAGCUUGCUUCAGAUGACGACCGGCGCACGGGUGCGCACCGCGUAUGGAACCUACCUUUUACAGAGGAAUAGCCCAGGGAAACUUGGAUUAAUGCCUCAUAGUAUCAUUAUUCAGCAUUGGAUUUUGAUUAAAGCUUUCGAGCGGUAAAAGAUGGCCAUGCGUCCCAUUAGCUAGAUGGUAAGGUAACGGCUUACCAUGGCUACGAUGGGUAGGGGCCCUGAGAGGGGGAUCCCCCACACUGGUACUGAGACACGGACCAGACUCCUACGGGAGGCAGCAGUGAGGAAUAUUGGACAAUGGAGGAGACUCUGAUCCAGCCAUGCCGCGUGCAGGAAGAAUGCCCUAUGGGUAGUAAACUGCUUUUAUACAGGAAGAAAAAGAGCUACGUGUAGCUUACUGACGGUACUGUAAGAAUAAGGACCGGCUAACUCCGUGCCAGCAGCCGCGGUAAUACGGAGGGUCCGAGCGUUAUCCGGAAUUAUUGGGUUUAAAGGGUCCGUAGGCGGGCCGAUAAGUCAGGGGUGAAAGUUUGCAGCUCAACUGUAAAAUUGCCUUUGAUACUGUUGGUCUUGAGUUAUAGUGAAGUUGCCGGAAUAUGUAGUGUAGCGGUGAAAUGCAUAGAUAUUACAUAGAACACCGAUUGCGAAGGCAGGUGACUAACUAUAUACUGACGCUGAUGGACGAAAGCGUGGGGAGCGAACAGGAUUAGAUACCCUGGUAGUCCACGCCGUAAACGAUGGAUACUAGCUGUCCGAGACCUUGAGUCUUGGGCGGCCAAGCGAAAGUGAUAAGUAUCCCACCUGGGGAGUACGUUCGCAAGAAUGAAACUCAAAGGAAUUGACGGGGGCCCGCACAAGCGGUGGAGCAUGUGGUUUAAUUCGAUGAUACGCGAGGAACCUUACCAGGGCUUAAAUGUAGAUUGACAGGACUAGAGAUAGUUUUUCCUUCGGGCAAUUUACAAGGUGCUGCAUGGUUGUCGUCAGCUCGUGCCGUGAGGUGUCAGGUUAAGUCCUAUAACGAGCGCAACCCCUGUUGUUAGUUGCCAGCGAGUCAUGUCGGGGACUCUAACAAGACUGCCGGUGCAAACCGUGAGGAAGGUGGGGAUGACGUCAAAUCAUCACGGCCCUUACGUCCUGGGCCACACACGUGCUACAAUGGCCGGUACAGAGAGCAGCCAUGUUGCAAAACAGAGCGAAUCUAUAAAACCGGUCACAGUUCGGAUCGGGGUCUGCAACUCGACCCCGUGAAGCUGGAAUCGCUAGUAAUCGGAUAUCAGCCAUGAUCCGGUGAAUACGUUCCCGGGCCUUGUACACACCGCCCGUCAAGCCAUGGAAGCCGGGAGUGCCUGAAGUCCGUCACCGUAAGGAGCGGCCUAGGGCAAGAUCGGUAACUAGGGCUAAGUCGUAACAAGGUAACC
rnacentral:rRNA from 1 species